rnacentral:rRNA from 1 species
UACGUAGGGUGCAAGCGUUAAUCGGAAUUACUGGGCGUAAAGCGUGCGCAGGCGGUUAUGUAAGUCAGGUGGGAAAUCCCCGGGCUUAACCUGGGAACUGCAUUUGUGACUGCAUAGCUAGAGUACGGUAGAGGGGGAUGGAAUUCCGCGUGUAGCAGUGAAAUGCGUAGAUAUGCGGAGGAACACCGAUGGCGAAGGCAAUCCCCUGGACCUGUACUGGCGCUCAUGCACGAAAGCGUGGGGAGCAAACAGG